rnacentral:rRNA from 1 species
CCUACGGGAGGCAGCAGUGGGGAAUCUUGGACAAUGGGGGAAACCCUGAUCCAGCCAUGCCGCGUGAGUGAUGAAGGCCCUAGGGUUGUAAAGCUCUUUCACCGGGGAAGAUAAUGACGGUCUCCGGAGAAGAAGCCCCGGCUAACUUCGUGCCAGCAGCCGCGGUAAU